ACAAAUUUGUGAAGCUUUUCAUACUUAAAUAUAUAUGAACAAUAUUUAUAAGGAGGGUUAUUCUUUUUUGUUUUUUGUAGGUCUGUUUUAAUCUUCAGGUCUGUGAAGUUAAAUUUGGGGAAUUAGGAGAGGCCAUAUCAAAUUUUGUUUAUAUUUAAGCAGUCAAACUAUAUAGUAUUCCUUAAGUUUUGGGAAAUGAACUUGUUUUCAAUUUUAAUUAAAUACUUCUUUUGAUUUGCUUCACUUGUAAUAUAGGAACUGGAAGAGGAGGCAACAGUAUCUGGGGCAAGAAGUUUGAGGAUGAAUACAGUGAAUAUCUUAAGCACAAUGUUAGAGGUGUUGUAUCUAUGGCUAAUAAUGGCCCGAACACCAAUGGAUCUCAGUUCUUCAUCACCUAUGGCAAACAGCCACAUUUGGACAUGAAAUACACCGUAUUUGGAAAGGUAAUAGAUGGUCUGGAAACUCUAGAUGAGUUGGAGAAAUUGCCAGUAAAUGAGAAGACAUACCGACCUCUUAAUGAUGUACACAUUAAGGACAUAACUAUUCAUGCCAACCCAUUUGCUCAGUAGCUAUGAUAGACCUGGACAAAU
rnacentral:sRNA from 1 species